AGAAUCAACGCUGGCGGCGUGCCUCAGACAUGCAAGUCGAACGCGAAAGUUCCCUUCGGGGAGCGAGUAGAGUGGCGCACGGGUGAGUAACACGUAGGUAAUCUACCUUUGGGUGGGGAAUAACAGCCGGAAACGGCUGCUAAUACCGCAUAAUGCAGCGGCUCGACAUCGAGACAGUUGUUAAAGCGGGGGAUCGCAAGACCUCGCGCCUAAAGAGGAGCCUGCGGCGGAUUAGCUAGUUGGUGGGGUAAUGGCUCACCAAGGCAUCGAUCC
rnacentral:rRNA from 1 species